rnacentral:rRNA from 1 species
AUUGAACGCUGGCGGCAGGCCUAACACAUGCAAGUCGAACGAGUGGCGGACGGGUGAGUAAUGUCUGGGAAACUGCCCGAUGGAGGGGGAUAACUACUGGAAACGGUAGCUAAUACCGCAUACCAUCAGAUGUGCCCAGAUGGGAUUAGCUGGUAGGUGGGGUAACGGCUCACCUAGGCGACGAUCCCUAGCUGGUCGGAGGGGAGGACCAGCCACACUGUAACUGGGACACGGUCCAGACUCCUACGUGAGGCAGCAGUGGGGAAUAUUGCACAAUGGGCGCAAGCCUGAUGCAGCCAUGCCGCGUGUGGGAAGAAGGCCUUCGGGUUGUAAAGCACUUGCAGCGAGGAGGCGUUACUCGCAGAAGAAGCACCGGCUAACUCCGUGCCAGCCGCCGCGGUAAUAC